rnacentral:rRNA from 1 species
GACGAACGCUGGCGGCGUGCCUAAUACAUGCAAGUAGAACGCAGUUGCGAACGGGUGAGUAACGCGUAGGUAACUGCCUGGUAGCGGGGGAUAACUAUUGGAAACGAUAGCUAAUACCGCAUACUACCAGAUGGACCUGCGUUGUAUUAGCUAGUUGGUGAGGUAACGGCUCACCAAGGCAACGAUACAUAGCCGACCUUGGAGGGUGAUCGGCCAAACUGGGACUGGGACACGGCCCAGACUCCUAAGGGAGGGAGGAGUAGGGAAACUUCGGCAAUGGGGGGAAACCUGACCGAGCAACGCCGCGGGAGUGAAGAAGGGUUUCGGAUCGUAAAGGUCUGUUGUUAAGGAAGCGGUACUUAACCAGAAAGGGACGGCUAACUACGUGCCAGCAGCCGCGGUAAUUC